ACGCAGUAGGAUAGGCGAAGCGUGCGAUUGGAUUGCACGUCUAAGCAGUAAGGCUGAGUAUUAGGCAAAUCCGGUACUCGUUAAGGCUGAGCUGUGAUGGGGAGAAGACAUUGUGUCUUCGAGUCGUUGAUUUCACACUGCCGAGAAAAGCCUCUAGAUAGAAAAUAGGUGCCCGUACCGCAAACCGACACAGGUAGUCAAGAUGAGAAUUCUAAGGUGAGCGAGCGAACUCUCGUUAAGGAACUCGGCAAAAUGACCCCGUAACUUCGGGAGAAGGGGUGCUCUUUAGGGUUAACGCCCAGAAGAGCCGCAGUGAAUAGGCCCAAGCGACUGUUUAUCAAAAACACAGGUCUCUGCUAAACCGUAAGGUGAUGUAUAGGGGCUGACGCCUGCCCGGUGCUGGAAGGUUAAGAGGAGUGGUUAGCUUCUGCGAAGCUACGAAUCGAAGCCCCAGUAAACGGCGGCCGUAACUAUAACGGUCCUAAGGUAGCGAAAUUCCUUGUCGGGUAAGUUCCGACCCGCACGAAAGGCGUAACGAUUUGGGCACUGUCUCAACGAGAGACUCGGUGAAAUCAUAGUACCUGUGAAGAUGCAGGUUACCCGCGACAGGACGGAAAGACCCCGUGGAGCUUUACUGUAGCCUGAUAUUGAAAUUCGGCACAGCUUGUACAGGAUAGGUAGGAGCCUUUGAAACGUGAGCGCUAGCUUACGUGGAGGCGCUGGUGGGAUACUACCCUAGCUGUGUUGGCUUUCUAACCCGCACCACUUAUCGUGGUGGGAGACAGUGUCAGGCGGGCAGUUUGACUGGGGCGGUCGCCUCCUAAAAGGUAACGGAGGCGCUCAAAGGUUCCCUCAGAAUGGUUGGAAAUCAUUCAUAGAGUGUAAAGGCAUAAGGGAGCUUGACUGCGAGACCUACAAGUCGAGCAGGGUCGAAAGACGGACUUAGUGAUCCGGUGGUUCCGCAUGGAAGGGCCAUCGCUCAACGGAUAAAAGCUACCCCGGGGAUAACAGGCUUAUCUCCCCCAAGAGUUCACAUCGACGGGGAGGUUUGGCACCUCGAUGUCGGCUCAUCGCAUCCUGGGGCUGUAGUCGGUCCCAAGGGUUGGGCUGUUCGCCCAUUAAAGCGGUACGCGAGCUGGGUUCAGAACGUCGUGAGACA
rnacentral:rRNA from 1 species